AUGAAAAAGGUACAAAGUACAACUCCUGACCAACGACUCCUCUUUAAAGACACAGUGCACUCACAGGUACCAUAUCCACACACACACACACACACACACACACACACACACACACACACACACACACACACACACACACACACACACAGACACACACACACACACACACACACACACACACACACAGACACACACACACACACACACACACACAGUGGUGAACAUCUGGAGCAAUCUGGGGUUCAGUAUCUUGCUCAACAUGCAGCAGGUGGAGCCGGGGAUCGAACCACCAACCUUCUGAGUAAUGGACGACCUGCUCUACCUCCUCUAUUAUAUAUAUAUAUAUAUAUAUAAUUAUAUUAUGUUAUAUAUAAUAUAAUAAUAUUAUAUAUAAUAUAAUAAUAUUAUAUCCAGAUAGGAGUAAUUACACCUAAUAAGAUAAAUAAAAUAAAAUUACACUUGAGCUGACUCAAACAAACUGGACUACAAACUUUGCUUUAUAUUUUUGUUUGUGGACAUUGCUUUAUAUUAAUGAUUGUUUUCUCUUCAGAAAUGAAUCAGAUAAAAGAAGGAAACAGUCUUUGGAAUCAUUUUGUUUUAAAGGUCACAAGCUAAAGAGGUUUGGAACCGGUGGCUGACAUCUUUCACUCAUGAAUACAUGACUGUGACUGGUAUCAGUUGAUGGAUGUAUCUGUUAUCUACAGUAUAUAAACUAAUACUGUGUAUAUUUAAUUUAAUUAAGUUUGCCAUUGGCUCAGAAUCUGGGGAUUUUCUGCUCUUUGCUGUCAUUGUGCCGUUAAAGCCAGAGGAUAACACCGAGCACAGAUAAGAACAGAUGACAACAACACACACAGAUAAAAGAUAAAGUCCAUCUGGAAAAAACCAACACAAAGAGAUACUGUAACUGUGUUUGUGUGACUAGCUCUUUGUGUUUGUGUUUGUUUUACAUGCUUACACAAAUUUUCAUUAGCCUAACAGCAGAGUAAUAAAGGCUGUUGGUUCCAGACGAGAAAGGAAAUUAAACUUCAUUGUGCAUGUACAGUGUGUACUCUGUGUAAUGUGUGUGUGAUGUGUGUGUGAUGUGUGUGUAAUGUGUGUGUAAUGUGCAGUGGUGGAAGAUGUACUCAGAUCUUUUCCUUUGUAUUUGUGUGGAUUCUGGCGCCCCCUGUGGACAAAAGUGGUAGUGUUUCAUCUUGUUUGCAGGCGUUAAUGAAAACUAUAUAAAAACACUAAAUCUUCUCUCUGAUGGUUUUGUUUGUUUCUGUAGGUCAGACAGAGACAUCAGUGUGAAACUGAGACUGUUUCAUUAACAGUUUAAAACUCCUUGCAGUAUGUUUAAGUAGACUAAAAGUAAUAAUACAUUAAUGCAUCAACCCUCGGCGCUGGAACUGACCGAGGAGAUUAGGUCACAUUACCUGCUUUUAAAUCAUUGCUUAAAUUACAUUUUUUUAAUAGGAAAGCCUUUUGUGAUGUCUGACUACCUUUAUUUCUCAUAUUCUAACUGAUUCGUAUGGUUACCUUUAUUGUAUCUUUGUUGUUUGUUU
rnacentral:lncRNA from 15 species